rnacentral:rRNA from 1 species
GGAUUAGCUAGAUGGUGGGGUAAAGGCCUACCAUGGCGACGAUCUGUAGCUGGUCUGAGAGGAUGAUCAGCCACACCGGGACUGAGACACGGCCCGGACUCCUACGGGAGGCAGCAGUGGGGAAUAUUGGACAAUGGGGGCAACCCUGAUCCAGCCAUGCCGCGUGUGUGAAGAAGGCCUUUUGGUUGUAAAGCACUUUAAGCAGUGAAGAAGACUCCAUGGUUAAUACCCAUGGACGAUGACAUUAGCUGCAGAAUAAGCACCGGCUAACUCUGUGCCAGCAGCCGCGGUAAUACAGAGGGUGCAAGCGUUAAUCGGAAUUACUGGGCGUAAAGCGAGCGUAGGUGGCUUGAUAAGUCAGAUGUGAAAGCCCCGGGCUUAACCUGGGAACGGCAUCUGAUACUGUUAGGCUAGAGUAGGUGAGAGGAAGGUAGAAUUCCAGGUGUAGCGGUGAAAUGCGUAGAGAUCUGGAGGAAUACCGAUGGCGAAGGCAGCCUUCUGGCAUCAUACUGACACUGAGGUUCGAAAGCGUGGGUAGCAAACAGGAUUAGAUACCCUGGUAGUCCACGCCGUAAACGAUGUCUACUAGUCGUUGGGUCCCUUGAGGACUUAGUGACGCAGCUAACGCAAUAAGUAGACCGCCUGGGGAGUACGGCCGCAAGGUUAAAACUCAAAUGAAUUGACGGGGGCCCGCACAAGCGGUGGAGCAUGUGGUUUAAUUCGAUGCAACGCGAAAAACCUUACCUGGUCUUGACAUAUCUAGAAUCCUGCAAAGAUGCGGGAGUGCCUUCGGGAAUUAGAAUACAGGUGCUGCAUGGCUGUCGUCAGCUCGUGUCCUGAAAUGUUGGGUUAAUUCCCGCAACGAGCGCAACCCUUGUCCUUAUUUACCAGCGGUUUGGCCGGGAACUCUAAGGAUACUGCCAGUGACAAACUGGAGGAAGGCGGGGACGACUUCAGUCAUCAUGGCCCUUACAACAGGGCUACCACUUGCUACAUGGUAGGUACAAAGGGAGCUUCCCCCCGAUUGAUCCGAUCUCAAAAGCCUAUCGAAUCCAAAUGGAA